rnacentral:lncRNA from 1 species
CUGUCUGUCUGGGUCACCUCUGAAGCGGUGGCUGGUAUGCGUGUUGGUAUGAGAAGCAGGAGACUGCCUGCGGGGACCGCUCGCCCCUUCCUCGCUUGGCUACCUCCAGACCCCCCGCGGCCCCCCCACUCUCAAGCCUAGGCAGAAGCACACAGACACACGCGCACACACGCACAACCUCACUUCCCUGGGAUUUCCCCUCAACACCCCCAGAGCUUGAGCAGGGAGACACACACUCAUACACGCACGCAGGGGGUCCAAUGGGGGGCGGGCUGCCCCUGCCGUCAGGGGCUGUUUGGCCAGACAGGAGGACACAGGCAUCCAGGGACACCCAGACGCCCGGCCGGACGCAGGCAGGAGGCACAGAACCCAGGUCUGGGAGGCCUGGCCUGAAGGUGCACAUUCCCGAAAGAGAAGACUUGUGGCCUGGAUUUUGAGGUGGUAGGAGGGAUUGCGCAUCUCGAUUCCUGGUGUUAAAACCCUUGAGCUAUAAAAUGGUUGAAGUGGGACUAAGUUCCAAGAAAAGGGGAUAUGGAGAUGAGGGCGCUGGGGCCUGGACACUGGGUCGGAGGGGGGCGAUGCUAAGAGCCUCUUUCUUUUCUCUCCUGAUUGGAGCUGGAGGCCCCAGGUGAGUGACAGAAGCCGGCAGUCCAGCGUUUGGGUUUCUGUGCAGGACUUUUGGAGUUCAGGAGGCGCCUCCCCAAACCCUGUAAGGGUAGGGUCUUGGCAGCUCUUCUCCACCCUUUACAAAUACACGCUGCCUGGGGCAGCAAUGCGGGGAUUUGGGAGUAUCUCACGCCGGCGACCCUCCAAGUUCCUCGGACUCAGCCGAGGAGUGCAUUGGGCGCCAGACCUGCAAGGCAGGAGGUGGGCGACAGGGGGAGCCCGAGAACCGAAAC